AGGCCUCUGGGCUGUAAACCUCUUUUCUCAAGGAAGAAGAUCUGACGGUACUUGAGGAAUAAGCCACGGCUAAUUCCGUGCCAGCAGCCGCGGUAAUACGGGAGUGGCAAGCGUUAUCCGGAAUUAUUGGGCGUAAAGCGUCCGCAGGCGGCCCUUCAAGUCUGCUGUUAAAAAGUGGAGCUUAACUCCAUCGUGGCAGUGGAAACUGUUGGGCUAGAGUGUGGUAGGGGCAGAGGGAAUUCCCGGUGUAGCGGUGAAAUGCGUAGAUAUCGGGAAGAACACCAGUGGCGAAGGCGCUCUGCUGGGCCAUAACUGACGCUCAUG
rnacentral:rRNA from 2 species